UACGUAGGGUGCGAGCGUUAAUCGGAAUUACUGGGCGUAAAGCGUGCGCAGGCGGUUGUGCAAGGCAGAUGUGAAAUCCCCGGGCUCAACCUGGGAACUGCAUCUGUGACUGCAUAGCUAGAGUACGGUAGAGGGGGAUGGAAUUCCGCGUGUAGCAGUGAAAUGCGUAGAUAUGCGGAGGAACACCGAUGGCGAAGGCAAUCCCCUGGACCUGUACUGACGCUCAUGCACGAAAGCGUGGGGAGCAAACAGG
rnacentral:rRNA from 1 species